UACAGAGGUCUCAAGCGUUAGGCGGAAUCACUGGGCUUAAAGCGUGUGUAGGCGGAUGCCUAAGUACCUUGUGAAAUCCCACGGCUUAACCGUGGAACUGCUUGGUAUACUGGGUGUCUUGAGCCAGCUAGGGGCGACCGGAACAAACGGUGGAGCGGUGAAAUGCGUAGAUAUCGUUUGGAACGCCAAUGGUGAAAACAGGUCGCUGGGGCUGUGCUGACGCUGAGACACGAAAGCCAGGGGAGCAAACGGG
rnacentral:rRNA from 1 species